UUUUUAUUAACUUGAGUAUUAUUUCAGAGCAAGAUCUCUGAAUGUAUUGAAAGACCCCCGGAGUGGGGAGACCUUCACUCAAGUCUCGGGAUGACGCAACCCCCCAAGAACUCACACAAGACC
rnacentral:pre_miRNA from 14 species